GUAAUCUUUCAGCUUAAAGAUCAAAAUUUUCUGCAUAACAUGGAGGUCCCUCAUUUCACUUCUGCAAAUUCUGUAACUGCUUAAAGUUUAAGAUCUCUAACAGAUAAUGGUUCAACAUAAUGGAGAAAAACAACAGAAUAGAUCUCUCAUUGCACAAGUAUUUACUGUCACUUUGAUGUACGAUCGUCAAACAAAUUGUCGAUGAGUAACAAACCAAUGCGCUAAUAAAAAUUCUCAAUUCAAGGGAUCAAGAAGAAUGAGUAGGGUAUUUCCAUAACACAUCACCCCAGGUGCUCUGCCCAUCAGUUACCUCCUUAAUAACAGAUGCUACUUCAUCAACAUUCACACGAAUCUGCUGCUUGCUGUCUCUUUCACGGAUCGUCACAGAGGAUGCUGAAUCCACUGUAAUGGCAAAGGGAACUCCAAGUUCAUCUGUUCUUGCAUACCUUUUCCCUAUUGACGUACCUGUUAUGUCAAUCUUAUACGAGAUCCCAUAGACAGUCAGUGACCUAGCAAUUUGUCUAGCAACUUCCUCAUAUUGUUGAUUCUGAACCAAUGGAAACACCGUGCAUUUGAUAGGAGCUACGAGAGGAGGGAAACUGAAAAAGUUCAUUUGUUCAUCACCGUCUCUGUUAGGUCUGGUGUUGAAAGAAUGCUCAUAGAGGCAGUAUAUUAUCCUCCCAAUACCAAAAGAUGGCUCAAUGACUGAUGGAGUAAAAACCCUCUGGUGCUCCUUCUUUAUUUCCUUGGAGAUGGACACCAUAUUCUUCUUUAUAGUGACAACCUUCUCGAGCGUGCAAACAUUAAAUGCGGCCUCCCCCUUAGACUCCAAUGUUUCUUUCAUUUCCAUUGCUUCUUUUUCACCCAUAGCCUCCAGUGCUUCAACCACCAUUUUUUGGUUA
rnacentral:misc_RNA from 1 species